GUCCUCUAGACACAAGGAAGGCAGAGUAAGAGCAGCAGCAAGACUCCCUCCUCCACGAGCAAGAGCUGCCUGCAAAAGCACAAGUGUUUUAGUCUGUCACCACCUACUUUGACAGACUGGGUGCUGGUAUCUCCAGACGGAGGUAUGCCACCAAAACUGGUAAUACGUGCACAUAUCCUUGGAAAAGGGUGAAGAUAAGUUGUGCAUUGCAUCUUGUUGAUUGUCAUGGUCCUUCCUCUGAAACUGCCGCCACAGCAGCUGCAACAUUCAUCGCUGUGUCAGGAGUUGCUCCAGCUGCAGAUGCUUGCUGAAUGGGAUACUUAUCUGAGUGAAAAGCCUGUUCCAUCAGGCCAGCACCCCCGGAGGCAGCCGAAGAUUACCAGCUUGGCUGAAACUUUGGAGUCAGGUUAUUGUCUUAUCUUCACAGUGCUGUCUGCUGGUUUUAUUCUUCCAAUAGUAAUUAAAAGCACACAAGUAUCUCUGAGUCACAAUUUUAAGUAGCUACCCCACCUACCUGUAAAGUGAAUAAGAAAGAUUGGCUUUGUAUAGAAUUCUCAGCUUGAAUGGCAAUUAUACACUAAAAGCACUAGUAAUGCUAUUUAAUGGGGUAAAAGGGUCUGGAACGAAUUCUCAGCGAUGCGAAAGCUAAUGUGCCACUUACUCUUGUUGAGGUUUCCCUUGUAAGUGCUGACCUAGGACAAGACAAAUACUGCUGCACAGUGCCCAUGAAAAUGGACCCAGUCAGAUUGCAGGCCAGACUGGCCUUAGUCACUCACCAGGGUGAUAUUUUCUGGGUUUAGUGAAAUAUAAAUAUUUUAAUAAUUAUAAGAAAAUGCUUUCAUGUAUUAAAUACUGUAAUAUAUAUAUAUAUAUAUUUUAAAGUAUAGUCGCUGUUCAGGAAACAAC